rnacentral:rRNA from 1 species
GUGGGUAGUCCGCACGAGCGCACCCCUAUCCUUAUUUGCCAGCACGUAAUGGUGGGAACUCUAGGGAGACUGCCGGUGAUAAACCGGAGGAAGGUGGGGACGACGUCAAGUCAUCAUGGCCCUUACGAGUAGGGCUACACACGUGCUACAAUGGCGUAUACAGAGGGUUGCAAAGCCGCGAGGUGGAGCUAAUCUCACAAAGUACGUCGUAGUCCGGAUCGGAGUCUGCAACUCGACUCCGUGAAGUCGGAAUCGCUAGUAAUCGUGGAUCAGAAUGCCACGGUGAAUACGUUCCCGGGCCUUGUACACACCGCCCGUCACACCAUGGGAGUGGGCUGCAAAAGAAGUGGGUAGUUUAACCUUCGGGAGAACGCUCACCACUUUGUGGUUCAUGACUGGGGUGAAGUCGUAACAAGGUAGCCCUAGGGGAACCUGGGGCUGGAUCACCUCCUU